UACGGAGGAUCCAAGCGUUAUCCGGAUUUAUUGGGUUUAAAGGGUGCGUAGGCGGCCUAUUAAGUACAGAGGAUGAAAGCGGUAGCUCAACUAUCGCAGUGCCUUUGAUACUGAUGGGCUUGAAUGAACUAGAGGUAGGCGGAAUGAGACAAGUAGCGGUGAAAUGCAUAGAUAUGUCUCAGAACACCGAUUGCGAAGGCAGCUUACUAUGGUUUUAUUGACGCUGAGGCACGAAAGCGUGGGGAUCAAACAG
rnacentral:rRNA from 1 species